GGGUCAAAAUUAUAGAUUUUUCUUUUAUGUCAAAAAUCAUUAGGAUAUUAAGUAAAGAUCAUGUUCCAUGAAGAUAUUUUGUCAAUUUAAUAUUGUAAAUAUAUCAAAACUUAAUUUUUUAUUAGUAAUAUGCAUUUCUAAGAACUUCAUUUGGACAACUUUAAAGGCAAUUUUUUUUCAACAUUUAGAUUUUUUUGCACCUUUUCAUAUAGUUGUCCUAUCCUAACAAACCAUACAUCAAUGGAAAGCUUAUUUAUUGAGCUUUCAGAUGAAGUAUACAUCUCAGUUUUGUCAAAUUGACCCUUAUUAAUUUUUUGUGGUCCAGGUUCACAUAUUGUGCAUAAAUAUAUAUUAAAUUAGUUAGUGUUAUGUGAGAGUUUUACAGGUGGAUUUUAUAUUCCAUGAUAAUACAUAUUUCAACAUGAACAAAACAAGUAAACAAACAAACAAAAAACUUCCUUGUAUUUGUGUAGUAUUCUUAACUUCGAAGUUUCUGUUGGAGACCAGAUGUUAUGGUUUACUGCAGAGUCGGUCAGUUUGACAGCUUCUAUUUAACAGCAAUAUUAGUGGUCAAUAUUGACCAAGGAAAUUUUCACAACCUGACCUUCUCUCGCCUGGGGUCCUGUCAUAGUAUUCCUCCUCUGUUCUCUAUUCUGAACAGCCUUCAAGGUGAGAAAGAGCACAUAUAAUUAAUUUAGAUUCCGUUUUAGGAUCCAGUCCAUUAAUAUGUUGUGAUUUGUUCCAGUAUUCUUUAUUUUUGUGUUCCAUUGUCUCAUGGAGGAAAAUGUAUGCAAGCAUUGGAGAAUACAUUUAUAUUGCAUUGCUUUCAAGCUGCAGGAAUACUCUGAAUGGAGCCAAACUGCAACUGUGGUUUCCAAACACAAACCCAAUCCACUUAUACAUUUCCUGUCAUGGCAUCUGUGAGAUCCAUCAAGUCUAAUUCAGCUCAGAGUUCAACGGUUUCCUCAGAGUCCAGUCAAUGUCAAAUGACUAUUAAAAGACCAGACCUGUUUUGGUAAUACCAAGAGCCAGAGCAGGAUUGAUGGUUCUUCCCUACGAUACAUCUCCUGUGAUAGCAAGUGGGCUCAAGUUUCCUUCAAGUCCAUGGAAGAAUGGAUUUGACACAGACAUCUAUCCACAUAAAUGUGACUGUUUUUGUUUGUUUGCUCUGUACUGAAGCACAUGUUUUUUUCUGUUAACUUUUAAUUUAAAAAUGACAUUUGAUUCUUAGAAAAUGAGUGAAUAAAAAUAUAUAAAACUCUCAGAUUAAAAUACAUUUUAUAUCUCAACCUUUUUUCAUGAAACAAUCAAGAAAAAGUAUGUUGAGAUUUAAACAAAAAUGAUAUAAAUCUGGUUUGAUUAAUUGGGACAUAGACUGUGACCCUAUGCACUCAUACACUAUGUACUCAACCAUGUAGUGUAUGAAUUAUAUACGUUUUUUUGUCAUUCGUA